rnacentral:lncRNA from 1 species
AAAUAUAACAUAAUCCAUAGAGCAUAUAUAUAACAUCCAUAAUCCAUACAUAUAACACAUCCAUAAUCUAUACAUCGUAUAUAUAACAUCCUUAAUCCAUACAUCAUAUAUAUAACAUCCUUAAUCCAUACAGCAUAUAACACAUCCAUAAUCCAUACAGCAUAUAGCACAUCCAUAUAUAUAUAGCAUAAUCCAUAGCACAUCCAUGUCAUAAUAUUUGGCAUUAACACAUAAAAUUUGGCAUUACGAUAAAUGUCUUUAUGUC